GAGAAAUUGAAAUGCAUGUAACAGAGUAUUUAAUUUCUCAUCUACAAUUUCACUAAGCCAUUAGAAACAUCAAGAGGCUUUCUGUGUCUUUGUGCUUUUAAGAGUUGCAAUGAAAUCAUCAUCUGAGUCUUCUUCAGAAGAAUCAUCCUUAAGCUUCCGUUUCUUUGACCGCUGCAUUGAUUCCGUUUUUCCAGAAUCUGGUGUUUUCUUUUUCUGUGUUGAUGGCGUGGUUGACGAGGAUGUUGUCUUCUUAAUAGUAACAGACUCCGUGGUCUUUUUCACAGUCACAACCGUUUUCAGAGGUGAACCAAGCUU
rnacentral:misc_RNA from 1 species